GGUGGCAUCGUUUUGGUCGUCACAUUUCCCCUCACCAUAGAGAAGAGACCGAAGGAGAGUGGUGCAGAGCUUAAACAAAGUAACAAGGCUCCAUCUGUUCAUUCAACAACCUCUCUUUCUUUCUGUAAAUUUCUUCUACCUCAUUACCAUUAUGGAUCCCAACCCUAACUCCUUCCCAAUCCUCUCUUAUGUCAUGGCCCGCCUUCCUUCUUUCGGACCCAAAUCUUCCGACACCUCCUUCGACGUCGAGCAGCCGCCGCCUCGCACUUCGUCCGACCCCUCUUCCAGUCAAAUACCCAUCGUCUCCCAAUUACCCCACUUAACGGACCCCAAAGUCAUUGCUUCCAUGACUCGCGCCAUCUCCGACGUGGUCCAGACCCGAUCCGUCCUUCAAACCCUCGGCCCUCGUCCUGACCACGAGACCGUUGACACUGCCAGACUCAAACUCUCUGAAAUCGAAUCCAACCUCUCCAAACAGCUCGAAGAAAUUGUCCUCUCUCCCCGGCCGGCUGAAGUCGAUAGGCUUGAAUGGCGCGCGCACUUGGUGGACAAGGAACAUCAGUGUCGACAAGCAGCCGAGAAAGAGAAGAAUUUGUACAAGACGAUAUUGCAAUUGGAGGAGAUGCACGUCUCUUACGAGAAGCUGCUGAAGGCGGCGGAUCAGCGGCUGGUGAAGAUUUAUGAGAAGGCGGAGAUGGGAGAGGAGGAGGAGCUGAAAGAUAAGGAGGAAGUGGACGAGCAGCUGAAUGAAGAGGUUGUGGGAAUACUCCAAGAGGUGUCUGGAAAAGGGUUGGAAAGGAUCGAUUUGUCGAACCGGAGAUUGUUGUUCUUGCCUGAGGCGUUUGGAAGGAUUCGUGGGUUGAGAGUGCUUAAUCUCUCUAAUAAUCAGCUUGAGGUUAGCUUCUUCCCUUUUAUCCAUUAUUAUAAAUUUUAAUUGCUGGCUUGCAGUAGAUAGAAGCGAUACACAAUUCUCAAUUGUUAACGUUCUACUUAGUAGAUAAACAGAUUCAAGUUACAAAUGAUUAGUUGAUUGAGAUUACUGGGCCACUCGUUUUUGUUGUUGCAUUCUAGGCCUUUAGCUUGGGAGUGUUGGCUUUGGCGUUCUGUAACCCGCAAUCAUAUUAUCUGCAGCCUGGGUGUUUAAUGAGAUCCCAAUUUCUAUUGGUGUACUGCAUAACUGAUGAUUCAUGAGUUCUGAAGUCAAGUUUGUGGGGUUUUUGUGCUAGCUGCUAACUUUCUAAAGUAACCGAUUGGUGUCCCUAAAUGCAAUAAUAAGCAGUAUCAGUAAGGUGGUUCAGCAGACUUCAGUGAACUUAGAUAGGGUCCAUGCAAAUCCAUUGAUCAUUCAGGGCACAAAUUUUUUUAGUGAUGAAGGGAGAAUGUGACCUAGGUUCCAGUUGGUCAAAGCAGUCCUCCAACUUCCUUGGGUUUUUGGUUGAGCUGCAUUUUUAUGGCACAUGCAAAAUAUUCAAGUAUUAGAGCGUGCAUUGUAUUCAUUGGUACUAUAAGAUCCUGUUGGUCAUGAGUAUUUAAAAAAAUUUGACUCCCCUUAUUUUGUUUGCGUGUUUCAUUUCCUUUACUUGCUUCUCCAUGUUUUUAUGCUUGCCUUCAGUAUCUCAAAUAUCUAUUAAACUACUUUCUUAUGGGUAUGCAUUUCCCUUUUAUGUGUUGUCUCGUAUAUUUUUCUCCUUUUAUCUGGGUAACCUGUCUGAGGAGAACAGGUCAUUCCUGACUCAAUAGCUGGGUUAGAAAAUCUCGAGGAGCUCAAUCUUACUUCAAAUCUCUUGGAGGCGUUGCCAGAUUCCAUUGGGUUGCUACAUAACUUGAAAAUUCUAGAUGCCUCCAGCAAUAAGCUAGAGUCUUUACCUGACUCCAUUUCUUAUUGCAGGUCAUUGCUGGAGUUGGAUGUGAGCUUCAACCGUCUUACAUACUUGCCAACUAAUAUUGGAUAUGAGUUGGUGAAUCUUAAGAGGCUGUCAGUCCAGUUGAACAAGAUUCGUUCUCUUCCCACUUCUAUUGGUGAAAUGAGAUCGCUGCAGCAUCUUGAUGCUCACUUCAAUGAGCUUCAGGGCCUUCCACUUUCAAUUGGGAGAUUGACAAAUCUUGAGAUCCUCAACUUGAGCAAUAAUUUUAAUGACCUGACAGAACUCCCUGAUACGUUGGGUGAUUUGACAAACCUCAAGGAACUUGACCUCAGCAAUAACCAGAUUCAAGCUUUACCUGAUACAUUUGGGCGGCUGGAUAAUUUGACCAAAUUGAACUUGGAACAAAAUCCUCUCGUGAUCCCACCAUCAGAAAUAGUGAUGGAAGGGAUUGAAGCUGUGAAGAAUUUCAUGGCUAAGAGGUGGCUUGACAUACUGGUGGAGGAAGAAAGGAAAAGCAUGCUUGAAGUACAAGAACAAGCACAGACUGGAUGGUUGACAAGAAGCACAUCCUGGAUGAAGAAUUAUGCUGCAGGUGUUUCUGAAAGUGUUUUAGGAUAUUUAAGUCCAAGAUCUCCCAAGGACGCUUACCUUGAUCAGCAGCUGUAACUUUGUGGCCCUUUGAUAUUUGGGCCGUCCCUUCCUUUCACGGCAUUGUACACAUGAGAAGAGAUUGCUGAUAUGGUUUCUUCUGGUUUUAUUGCAUAUAUUUUCAUUCUUCUUUGCUGCAUUAACGUUAGCAAGAAAAAAAAAAAAGAAAAUUUGAUAAAUCUUGUUUUGCUUCCAAUCCAUCCCAUUCCCGGAAGCGAUAGCUAGUCAUGCGAAAAUAAAUAGGCAUAGACGCUGCUGUUUUCAUUUAUUCUAUCAUAGUUGUGAAUCAGCUGGAGGAGGUCCAACAGUCACUCGGUAGCAUUUAGCAAUGUAAUUUAGCUGAUUGAUUCCAAUUCCAUGUACAGAUCAUCACAUGGAAUGCACUCUUAGUAUUUGAAGUUAUGACCGAUCCAAUUUGGCAAAUACCAUCUGGUCUGAGAUUCUGAGCAAGCCAAGCAAAUACUCAAUUCGGUUGCAAUAUCUGAUUCCCCGAAAGCUACGUAUGAGUCAGAUUUUAAGAUUAUGUAUAUUGGUUUUUCAUUUAAAAAUUUUUUAUUUUUUUAAAUUUUAGGUUCCUAUCUAAAUAAUUUUGUUUUUGAGAUGAGAUUGGCUAACUAAAUAUUAUUUGGUUUUGUCUUGCA
rnacentral:misc_RNA from 1 species